rnacentral:rRNA from 1 species
GACGAACGCUGGCGGCGUGCCUAAUACAUGCAAGUCGAGCGAAGUUUUUCUGGUGCUUGCACUAGAAAAACUUAGCGGCGAACGGGUGAGUAACACGUAAAGAACCUGCCUCAUAGACUGGGACAACUAUUGGAAACGAUAGCUAAUACCGGAUAACAAUAUUUUUCGCAUGAAAGAUACUUAAAAGUUGGUUAUGCUAACACUAUGAGAUGGCUUUGCGGUGCAUUAGCUAGUUGGUGGGGUAAAGGCCCACCAAGGCGACGAUGCAUAGCCGACCUGAGAGGGUGAUCGGCCACACUGGGACUGAGACACGGCCCAGACUCCUACGGGAGGCAGCAGUAGGGAAUCUUCCGCAAUGGGCGAAAGCCUGACGGAGCAACGCCGCGUGAGUGAAGAAGGAUUUCGGUUCGUAAAGCUCUGUUGUUAGGGAAGAAUGGAUAUGUAGUAACUAUACAUAUAA